GCCGGGAUGGCCCAACCGGUUAAGGCGUCGCCCCGGAUAGGCGAAGCUUGCGGCUUCGAUCCCCGCUCCAGGCU
rnacentral:tRNA from 1 species